rnacentral:rRNA from 1 species
ACGCUUCUUUUUCCCCGGAGCUUGCUCCACCGGAAAAAGAAGAGUGGCGAACGGGUGAGUAACACGUGGGUAACCUGCCCAUCAGAAGGGGAUAACACUUGGAAACAGGUGCUAAUACCGUAUAACAAUCGAAACCGCAUGGUUUUGAUUUGAAAGGCGCUUUCGGGUGUCGCUGAUGGAUGGACCCGCGGUGCAUUAGCUAGUUGGUGAGGUAACGGCUCACCAAGGCCACGAUGCAUAGCCGACCUGAGAGGGUGAUCGGCCACAUUGGGACUGAGACACGGCCCAAACUCCUACGGGAGGCAGCAGUAGGGAAUCUUCGGCAAUGGACGAAAGUCUGACCGAGCAACGCCGCGUGAGUGAAGAAGGUUUUCGGAUCGUAAAACUCUGUUGUUAGAGAAGAACAAGGAUGAGAGUAACUGUUCAUCCCUUGACGGUAUCUAACCAGAAAGCCACGGCUAACUACGUGCCAGCAGCCGCGGUAAUACGUAGGUGGCAAGCGUUGUCCGGAUUUAUUGGGCGUAAAGCGAGCGCAGGCGGUUUCUUAAGUCUGAUGUGAAAGCCCCCGGCUCAACCGGGGAGGGUCAUUGGAAACUGGGAGACUUGAGUGCAGAAGAGGAGAGUGGAAUUCCAUGUGUAGCGGUGAAAUGCGUAGAUAUAUGGAGGAACACCAGUGGCGAAGGCGGCUCUCUGGUCUGUAACUGACGCUGAGGCUCGAAAGCGUGGGGAGCAAACAGGAUUAGAUACCCUGGUAGUCCACGCCGUAAACGAUGAGUGCUAAGUGUUGGAGGGUUUCCGCCCUUCAGUGCUGCAGCUAACGCAUUAAGCACUCCGCCUGGGGAGUACGACCGCAAGGUUGAAACUCAAAGGAAUUGACGGGGGCCCGCACAAGCGGUGGAGCAUGUGGUUUAAUUCGAAGCAACGCGAAGAACCUUACCAGGUCUUGACAUCCUUUGACCACUCUAGAGAUAGAGCUUCCCCUUCGGGGGCAAAGUGACAGGUGGUGCAUGGUUGUCGUCAGCUCGUGUCGUGAGAUGUUGGGUUAAGUCCCGCAACGAGCGCAACCCUUAUUGUUAGUUGCCAUCAUUUAGUUGGGCACUCUAGCAAGACUGCCGGUGACAAACCGGAGGAAGGUGGGGAUGACGUCAAAUCAUCAUGCCCCUUAUGACCUGGGCUACACACGUGCUACAAUGGGAAGUACAACGAGUCGCGAAGUCGCGAGGCUAAGCUAAUCUCUUAAAGCUUCUCUCAGUUCGGAUUGUAGGCUGCAACUCGCCUACAUGAAGCCGGAAUCGCUAGUAAUCGCGGAUCAGCACGCCGCGGUGAAUACGUUCCCGGGCCUUGUACACACCGC